rnacentral:rRNA from 1 species
UACGGGGGGAGCUAGCGUUAUUCGGAAUUACUGGGCGUAAAGCGCACGUAGGCGGCUUUGUAGGUUAGAGGUGAAAGCCUGGUGCUCAACAUCAGAACUGCCUUUAAUACUGCAUCGCUUGAAUCCAGGAGAGGUGAGUGGAAUUCCGAGUGUAGAGGUGAAAUUCGUAGAUAUUCGGAAGGACACCAGUGGCGAAGGCGGCUCACUGGACUGGUAUUGACGCUGAGGUGCGAAAGCGUGGGGAGCAAACAGG